CCAUUUUGUUUCAAUUGGAACACACGCACACACACACACACACACACACUCGUAUUUCCAUAUAACAAGAAGUUCUUUUAGUUAGUAAAACUAAGCUAAUAUUCUUUGAUUAUAAGAAAUGUACAUGAAUGUUUAUAAUGUUUUAAUUUUUUUUGUUUGCAAUGUUCCUAGCAGCAAAAUAACAUUAAAACAUCAACCAGAUCGAUCACCUACACACACACACACACACACAAAACAAACACAACACAAAUUUUAAGAUGACGAAUAAUGUAUUCUCUUCUAUAUGCAUAUCUGAACAGACAUAUGUAUAGAUGAAAUGGCAACGAGAAAACAAGAAAUGAAAAAUAAUGAUCCUGCAAAUGAUAUGAUGAGAAAAUAAAACAGAAAUAUUGAAUUAUUUGAAAACGAAAAAGUAAAACAUAAAUUGUAUUUUUCAUUCUGGGUGGAGAAGCAGCUAAUAUACAUAUAUUCUGAAGAAUUUGGGCUUAAAGACAAUGUAUGAGUUAAAGAUUUGAAAUAUGGAUAAUUCGGGACUGUACUAAAACUACUUGGGAAUCACAACUAAAUGGAGUGAAGGCCUUACAGAGAAUCCACAGAGUUCACUUUUUGUGAAUCUCCUUACUAAAAAAGAAGAUAAAACAACAACAUUCUCGCAAUGGUCAAAUAAAAACCAAAUGAAGCUCAUUUCAAAUAUUGACAAGGAUUCUUAAAGUGGUCCCUGCCCAUACAACAAAUACUUAACUGAAGGUCCUUACGAAGUAUUCUUUAUUCUUUUAAUAGGUCUAAGAUUUAGUUUUCUUUUAAAAUAAAAACAUAAAUUGAGUGCUUGAGAACAGCCGAGGAAAACGCUAUGGAUAUUGGAUAACUUGUAUCUAUGGACAUGAACCCGGGAAUCCUAGAAAGCAUCUCCAAUACGAAUGUCUUUUAAUCUUAGCCCAAACGAACUUCUUACCAUAUAUAUAUAUAUAUCUCAUUGACUAAAAACUGGCAUUACAACGAAUCUCGUCAGUUUCUAAAUGAGAAUAUUUAUGAUUGAUAUUUUUCGAAUGGGAAAAGGAAAAGGAGUUUGAAUCAUGAAGCUUAAGUUUCAAGUAUUGCUAGAACCGUAAAAUAAAUCGGAAAAUAAUACCCUCCCGCCCCUUUCUAGAUCUGAGACGCCACUCUAGAUGAGUUUGAAAAGAAAUGCUUCCUUGGUAUAAAUUAGGAUUAACUAAGGAACAAAUAGUCUCAGAACUCUAACAAAAGGUUGCUGAAUUACUUUUUGAAUAUUCAUAA